rnacentral:rRNA from 1 species
AGUGAACGCUGGCGGUAGGCCUAACACAUGCAAGUCGAACGGCAGCACAGUAAGAGCUUGCUCUUACGGGUGGCGAGUGGCGGACGGGUGAGGAAUACAUCGGAAUCUACUUUUUCGUGGGGGAUAACGUAGGGAAACUUACGCUAAUACCGCAUACGACCUACGGGUGAAAGCAGGGGAUCUUCGGACCUUGCGCGAUUGAAUGAGCCGAUGUCGGAUUAGCUAGUUGGCGGGGUAAAGGCCCACCAAGGCGACGAUCCGUAGCUGGUCUGAGAGGAUGGGCGGCUACAAGGGAACGGAGGCACGGGCCGGACUAGUACGGGAGGCAGCAGUAGGGAAUCGUCAGCAAGGGGUGAAAUCCUGCUGGAGCAAUGCCGCGGGAGGGAGGACGGUCUGAGGAUCGUAAAACUCUGUGAUUAGGGAAGAACAAAUGUGGAAGGAACGAGGCAGGUCUUGACGGGAACUAAUAAGAAAGCCACGGCUAACUACGUG